AAACCACGAAAAUAGUUAUUUUUAGUGUUAAAAAUAACUAUGGUACCGUGAACAAAUUAGUCAAACAUUUGAAAAAAUGGAAUUCAAAUCUUAUUUGAAAGUAGACAACCAACCUUCGAAAAUGAAUCAAAAUAUUUACCAACAUAUCAAAAUAUCGCAAUCCAAUAUUUACCAACAUAUCAAAAUAUCGCAAUCCAUCAAUAGACCCCUCCACAAAUAAUAGUAAACUAUAGACUUAAACUUUGAUAUUUUGUUAUAUCUAUAAAUUUUAUCAACAGUUUUCUCAUUUAAAAUAAUUUUC
rnacentral:lncRNA from 1 species